GUAUAUUAAAGUUGUUGCAGUUAAAAAGCUCGUAGUUAAUUUUCUGUUAAUUUUUAUAUAUAAUACUACGGUAUUUAUAUAAUAUUAACAUAAUUCAUAUUACUUUUUAGUAUAUGAAAUUUUACUUUGAGAAAAUUAGAGUGCUUAAAGCAGGCUAUUGCCUUGAAUACUCCAGCAUGGAAUAAUAUUAAGGAUUUUUAUUCUUCUUAUUGGUUCUAGAAUAAAAAUAAUGAUUAAUAGGGACAGUUGGGGGCAUUUGUAUUUAACAGUCAGAGGUGAAAUUCUUAGAUUUGUUAAAGACAAACUACUGCGAAAGCAUUUGCCAAGGAUGUUUUCAUUAAUCAAGAACGAAAGUUAGGGGAUCGAAGACGAUCAGAUACCGUCGUAGUCUUAACCAUAAACUAUGCCAACUAGAGAUUGGAGGUUGUUCC
rnacentral:rRNA from 1 species